GGUCCCACUAGAGCAACACGGUUCAAGGCGCAAGCACAACACGUUCUCGACAGCGGUGUCUAACCACGUGUAACAAGACUACAGGUCAUACAUGCGGAGCAAGUCAAGGGACCGCGUUUGCCUGAAGCAAUAUUCAGCCCAGUCGUGAGACGCUGCAGCCUGCGAUCGAGAUGGACGGUGAAGCCCGUGCCCUCACACGUGAUAGACUCAAAGGCCACGACGAAGUCUGUUAACACCGUAUCUUACAAAAGAUGGUGGCUACUUCAAAUACGCGAAUGCUACCAUACUGCAGAGUAACAUCUCUAGUACACGUGUAAAGGAAUAGCAGGCAGAACACCAGUUUUAAUAUAGUUCUGCUCUCGGAAUUAGCAAGUUACCAUAGCAUGGAAGGAAGUUUAUAAUCUGCCAAAUUUAUCUUUAACUUUUCGCACAACUUUUCUUACGUCUAUAUGCUCCCAAAUGAAGUGAAUGUUGUUUUCUUUUGUGUGCUCUUAAUAUAGCGUAGGAAGACGUGCUCUCACAUGUGCCAACUCACUUAAAAGUGCAGUCGUGGCAAACAAGUACGGGAUGUAUAAAGCGAGUGAUAUUGAUUGUUUUAAUCGAGGUAUGUGCGACCGAAUGCGAUAUCCGGUGUGACGUGCUGUGGGUAUAAAAGAUGGUUGGCUUUGUGCUGAUGGAUCCAACCAGCGCGAUUAAAAUUAAUAAACCACAACGGAACCUGUUAGAAAACCUGUGGGUAUGCGAUUGCCCUUUCGUAGGUUGAAUUACUUACUCUCUAACAGGAGCUGCCUAAAUUAUGACGUCACGGCGGGCAUGUACGAAAACUUCAGACAGCAUCAGCCGCAAAUGAUUGAUGUACCGGAACUUUCAGGAGCAUAGGGUUCUCUAUAGCUUAGUUGCCUUUUUUUAUUUUUCAAAUUAGGCUGAUCGUGUGUAGUAAAAAUCUCUUCCGCAAAUAUUGCUCAAGCGUAAGUCGACGCAGCUGGAUGAAUGUGCACUACAUCUGUAACGGGCUUGCUCUGACCCGGAAACGCCAACUAUUAACUACGUAAAACUGCCACAUAACGUUUCUCUUGAGCAAUAUCAAACUCAACGGUUCCUGGCAACAUAGCUGUACCUCGUUUUCGGCAGUGCGUUAUGCCAACUUCAUAACGAAUGCCCUAUUGCUCAGAAGAAAAAAAAACAGUAUUAUACCGACAUAUAUGCUCUGCUCGACGUUCUGGUUUACGCGCUGACCAAUGAGGGCAAUUUAAUCUCACCGAUACCCGUACCUCAACAUUUGAAACACACUUUAGGUUUCCGUCGUUCGUGUGGAUUCACUGUACGUUUCCAUUUCUCACUGAAGAUAUGUGGCACAUAAAAUAUUGCUACAAUACUUCAGGUGUACGUUAAUAUUCAGGUUAUACAACUACUACGUAAACCUCAACGACGCGUGCUUAUAGCAGGUGGCGGGACAUAUCUAUAAUGAUGGGAAGCUCAAAAUGUGCUAAGAUAAUCUUAUAGCACAUGUUCGUGUAGUGUAUGUGCACUUGCUGCAAACGGACGACAGUCUGGCGCGCGAGAAAGUAACUUGAUAACUAAGCAUCAAAGUUAAGCCAAUGUGCCGUGAUACGUGUAGAUGUACUUGUUUACAGAUGGCUUAACAUGACUCACCGCUCCAGUUCAAUGUGUAGGGAACUAAAACUAAUUGCUCAGCACGGGAGGACAAGUUAUUGGAAGGUAAUUAGGGGGCCACUGUGGCUUGCCGAAUCCAGUAAGACCGAGUAGCUCAGUACAAACGCGAAUGCCGAUUAAUAUUCGCAGGCUCAAUUAAGUAAGAGUAUUGUAUCUCAAUAAUAAAGAGAAAUCUUUUUUACUCUGUUAAAGGUAACUAAAUGGUACAAAUGUACGCAGCGAAGUUGUAGCAAUCACCGCAUGAUUCUUCUUUUUUUUAACAUUCAACAGUGAAACUGACAACAUCAUAACUUCGGGAACUCAGUUCCUGGAGACAGUUUCUAUACAUUCGAGCACUUCAAUGCUGACGGUGAAGAUGACGUGUGUUCUAGUACAAGUCAACAUUCGAGCACGCACAAGAGAAUGGCAAAUGCAAGUUCUAGUUUCAAACCAUCAACGUUACAGCUGCUAAAUAGGUCAAGUGGGAAAUUGUGAGAAGCUCUUGCGUAGAUGGUUUCUUGUCCAGCUAAGCAAUGCGAUGGACACUUUGAGACUUGCGUUUACUUCACGUUGUCCAUGCAGGCAAUCUUGCUAUCUCUUGUCUAGCGACUGCGCUCAAUACCAGUAUACGAGGGAAUCGUUCCGGUUAGCCCAAAUCGCCACUCUUCCGAUUCGUAUACGUAAGGCUAGAAGAGAACAUACAAUUCCGUCGGUAAAAAAUAGAUCCGCAUGUAUGUGGUGUCGUGAACAUGAGUGUGGGUGGCCGGUUUCAUCAAUAAGACAUCUUUCACUAAUUCGUAGUUUUUUUUUUUCUUCCUUGUUCGAGAAGCGUUGUCGCAUAAACGUGUGCUGCAGUUCAGAUGCCUCUGAAAGGCAUAUAUUUCGGGCUGUUAUAGCGGACUGUGACCUGAAUCAAGCACAACCUUUAACAUCGCGAAUGCCCGAAGGUGUCUGGCGGGGCUUUUUAUGUCGUCCGAUAUGAGUCAGAGCGGCUAUAGGUCUCGGAGGCCGUGUUAUAUUCCACAUAAUGUCACGUAAAGCACUACAAUGACAGCCACGUACCAUAGGCGUGCGUACGAUUUUUCAUUGAAGGAGGCCCAGUUUUACCACAUUUGACCCCCCUCUCCCCGUUUGUUUAUUCCAAAAGAAAAAGAGUUACACAAUGAGAGAAAAAUAAAAGUGAAACGAUAACGUGCUUCUCAGAAAGGUCAGCUGCCAUUUAUCCUCUACAUUACGGGUCAAAUGUCAUAUACAGGGUGAAAAGUUAUUUGAAACCAACAUCAAGGGCCCUUGUUCGCCGUUAUUGUCAAAACUUAUGCGUUCCAAACGACGUGAAAGGUGUGGCGGAGAUAUUGUUUGGCGCCCCCUAAUAGAUAAUUUCGGAAUAGCACCCCCUUGGUACAAGAAUUGGCGUCCCCCUUUUGAAUAAAUGUGGUGGGUGGAUGGGGGGCGGGGGGUCGUCUAUGACCCCGUCAUGCGCCCGACUAUGGUCAUAGAAAAGGUUACUUUAUCCAGCGCAAAAAAAAAAACGUUCGCAAAACACCGCAUGAAGGUUCACUUAAAUCUACUGAAUCGCGGCGCAUCGUCGUUUGACAGCGUGGCUAAAUAUCUGCGUUGCACUGGCAAUACAUGUUCCAUCAUUCUAGAUUCGGCCACGCUCUGUACAUUUGCCGUACAUGAGUACGCGCGCUCGGAAGCAUUUUGAUUAGCAUGGGAGUACGCACGACAUGCGGCCCCACACACCAUUCGUUUGGAACCGCAGGGUGUGUUUUGUGUUUUGCGCUCUAAAAUCAAGUACUAAACAAUGUUCACGGUACUCUUGUAUAGCGUACCUCGUGGAGACGUAUAGUAGUAAUAAUGUUACUAGUAGCUUGGCAGGCGUUGUGUAUAACCUGUAAUCGUGCCGCACGCCUGGGGCGGCGCGAUUCCUUUGUCUUCUCGCACCGGUGAUUGGAGUUUCUAUGCAGAUGCUAUCGUAUGUCAGGGUGCUGUUUCUUCUCUUUUGUAGAUGGCGCUGCCGCCGUGUUUGUACCGGCAUGCGGCUGUACUGAAAAAAAAUAUAUAUAAUUGUGUACCUGUAGAUUUCACAAUCAGUGCCGAAUAAAGGACACUUUUUAGAAUUUUCA